GCUGGCUCAGGACCUGACUCAGCCCUCCUGAAGGUUCUUGUGGCUCUGAGGGAGUUCUCAAAGGUGACUGCUGAGCCGCUUGGAGAGGAUGGGGCCAAAACCUCAAGGAAAAGCUUCUCAAACAAAGGAAGAAAGACAACAGGAGAGAAUGAAGUUGCUGCGAUACACAUCAGAUCCUCCCAUCCUUCAUCCUCUUCCCAUGCAAGGAAUUUGGCCACCCAAGCAUGCCACUGAGGAGGGACAAGACUUUGCAGUAAUGAAGAGCGCCCAGCACGGGAGGCACAUUUGUGCUCCAUUUGGAAUGCGUCUCUCUUGGCACCGGAAGAAAGGGUGACCCCAGACGGAUACCAUGUUUGGAAUUGGAAUCCAAGAGGCUCAGAGGAAGAAUACAUGUAAACAUAUGCAAAAAUGAAGUCACCCAUCAUUUCAAGAGAUAGCAGUCUGUAUAGCAUUGCUACCUCUUUUGUUAUCAGCUACUCAUUAUCAG